GCUUGCAGGCCCUAGCUGAGGAUGCCCCGACUUGGCAAGAGCUGAAAUGCAUGAAAUUCCUGGCUCCCUGGGAAGUAUACCAGCGAUCCCAAGAGCUUGGUGGAUUCCAUUGGCUCGCAGAAUGCUCCUCACAACAGCAAAUGGAACCCAGUUUCAUAUGCUCAGGGCCUUAAGGAACAUGUGAGUGGGAAGAAAUUCCUGGAUGUGUAUAGGCGUUAGCUGCCAUCUCCGGUGCAGAAAACACUUGUGUCCACCGGCAGCUCUUCUGAACUAAGGGAGAGGUCAUCCCUGGAAGAGGACCUGUGUCUUUUCGAUGGACACUGUGGUGGAGAGACCUCUGAGCACUGUUCAUCUGUUCCCUCUGCCCACCUCUUCCCUCUAAGGAUGAGUGUACUGAGCCGGCUGUUGGGUACCCAUUCCUCCUCAGAGAGAAAGAGUUAGCUACUGAAGCCACCACAAGGUGGCGCCGUGACCCCAAACUUCGCACAAGCACCCCAAAGAAAAAAACCAGUUUUUUUUUUUUUUUGUUUUUUUUUUUUUAAGCUUUAUUCCCCGGGGCUUCUGAACUGUAGUGUACCCUAGCAAACCGGAGCGAUCGUACUGAAAGGGAAGUUCUGGUUCUUCAGGUCUAGGGUGGAGCCUGAAAUGCGCGUUUCUGACAGGCUCUCCGGUGAUACUAAUGCUGUCCCUGGUUCUAGGCGAGUUUAGUUUUCAUUUCUCUGAUGUUGCACCUGAUUGGAGAGGAGAGAAAAAACUAAGUAGAUGAGAAAGGGAGGCUGGGUUCUGCUCUCUGUCUUUAAGAGGCAAUGGGGGGCGGGUGAAAAUCGGGAACAGACGAGGAAACCCAGGCAGCUCUCUCUGAGUGGUCCAGUCCCUAAGUCCAUUUGCAGUGUGGGAAGAGGGGAGACGGGGAUGCUGAGCACUGAUUCAGCGGGGCAGGUGCUCUGGUCCAGGUGAGCUGUGCAGAUCCUUCUUUCUGGCAGGGCUUAUUUGAAAAUGCAGUACAGGAUUUGCAGUAGCCAGUGCCAGGUGCUUCAGCAAGCGCUCCUCAAUGCUCCCUUCAAAAGCCAACCUGGAGGCGCCGGCAGAGCCCAUCCUGGGGAGAGCCGGCCGCAGACGGAGAACUGAGCGCAGUAACGGGAAGAGCCGCUUUGCUGACACGUUACUCUUGCAUGCAUAAUCCAUCUAUUUUAGUACGCGAACUUCUGCUUUCCCAAGAGGGGAGGGCUUGCGGGGAACCGCGCACGAAGAGAAACCACUUCUUGUCCAGCGGGCCCCUUUGACUCCUGACGGGCCCUGUCACCGAUGGCUCCUGUCCUUUUUCUCUGGCUGACUCGGGGGCUUUAUUUUCUAGAUGUGGUUUGCGCUCCCCGCCCCUUCAACUUUCUGUGCAGCUGAGGAUGGCCUUGAACUUCUGAUAUUCCUGACUCUACCUCCCAAGUGCAGGGAUUUGCUGGUGAUAACACGCAGGCUUCUCACAUCCUCUCCAGCCCCCAUAUCAUCCCCCCCCCAUUUUGUUUCCCCAACAUGGUUUAAAAUAAAGUUAUACGAACAGUUGGUUUUUAACCUACUGUAUCAGUUUAGUUUACUGUUUACCCAGCUCUUACUCAAAAAGGUCAAGGCUCUAAACUUUUGUUGCGAGGCCUGCAUUAAAUUAAUACCGGAGUUAACAUUCUCCUCAGCCUUCUCCUCUGAGUUUGCAUACAGCCCACAGAAGAGAGGUCUAGCUAUACACCCAUGGGGAAGUAAAAGCUGGGUUUUUUUGGGGGGUGGCAUUGACCUUUCUAUAUCUAUAUGCAUGAGUUGAGGCGGGAGUAAUCGCAGAGUUGGCCAGAUGGGGAGGGAGGAAGAAGGGAGGAGGGGUCUGG